CUUUCUGGUGAUUCAUAAUAACUUCUCGAAUCGCACGGCCUUGCGCCGGCGAUGGUUCAUUCAAAUUUCUGCCCUAUCAACUUUCGACGGCUGGGUCUUGGCCAGCCGUGGUGACAACGGGUAACGGAGGGUUAGGGCUCGACCCCGGAGAAGGAGCCUGAGAAACGGCUACUACAUCCAAGGAAGGCAGCAGGCGCGCAAAUUACCCAAUCCCGACUCGGGGAGGUAGUGACAAUAAAUACUGAUACAGGGCUCUUUUGGGUCUUGUAAUUGGAAUGAGUACAAUUUAAAUCCCUUAACGAGGAACAAUUGGAGGGCAAGUCUGGUGCCAGCAGCCGCGGUAAUUCCAGCUCCAAUAGCGUAUAUUAAAGUUGUUGCAGUUAAAAAGCUCGUAGUUGAACCUUGGGCCUGGCUGGCCGGUCCGCCUCACCGCGUGCACUGGUCCGGCCGGGCCUUUCCCUCUGGGGAACCGCAUGCCCUUCACUGGGUGUGUCGGGGAACCAGGACUUUUACUUUGAACAAAUUAGAUCGCUUAAAGAAGGCCUAUGCUCGAAUACAUUAGCAUGGAAUAAUAGAAUAGGACGUGUGGUUCUAUUUUGUUGGUUUCUAGGACCGCCGUAAUGAUUAAUAGGGACAGUCGGGGGCAUCAGUAUUCAAUUGUCAGAGGUGAAAUUCUUGGAUUAAUUGAAGACUAACUACUGCGAAAGCAUUUGCCAAGGAUGUUUUCAUUAAUCAGGAACGAAAGUUAGGGGAUCGAAGACGAUCAGAUACCGUCGUAGUCUUAACCAUAAACUAUGCCGACUAGGGAUCGGACGAUGUUAUAUUUUGACUCGUUCGGCACCUUACACGAAAGUAAAGUUUCUGGGUUCUGGGGGGAGUAUGGUC
rnacentral:rRNA from 1 species